GGAAAAGCAGGCACCGUAUUUAAACAGAUGAGAUGAGAUGCAACAUUUGCUGUGUGAUGCAUACUUAGACCAGGGUAUGGCACAAACAAGCGCAAAAGCAGGCACCGUAUUUAAACAGAUGAGAUGAGAUGCGACAUACGCUGUGUGAUGCAUACUUAGACCAGGGUAUGGCACAAACAAGCGGGAAAAGCAGGCACCGUAUU